CUUGACAUGCAGGUAGUUCGGGGUUUAACGAAAGUAGGCCCCACCCUCGGGAGGCCUGCACAGGUGCUGCAUGGCUGUCGUCAGCUCGUGUCGUGAGAUGUCCGGUUAAGUCCGGUAACGAGCGCAACCCUCGCUGUAUGUUAUACGUGUCAUACGGGGACUGCCGGUAUCAAGCCGGAGGAAGGUGGGAUGACGUCAAGUCAGCAUGGCCUUUAUGUCUGGGGCUACACACACGCUACAAUGGCCAGUACAAUAGGUUGCAAGACCGCGAGGUGGAGCCAAUCCUAAAAGCUGGUCUCAGUUCGGAUUGCAGGCUGCAACUCGCCUGCAUGAAGUCGGAGUUGCUAGUAACCGCGCGUCAGCUAUAGUGCGGUGAAUACGUUCCCGGGCCUU
rnacentral:rRNA from 1 species